rnacentral:rRNA from 1 species
AAUCAACGCUGGCGGCGUGCCUAACACGUGCAAGUCGAACGCGAAAGUCCCGCAAGGGAUCAGUAGAGUGGCAAACGGGUGAGUAACGCGUGGGUGACCUGCCUUCGAGCGGGGGAUAACGUCCCGAAAGGGACGCUAAUACCGCAUAACAUCCUGCCUUUUAACAGGCGGAGAUCAAAGCUGGGGAUCGCAAGACCUAGCACUCGAUGAGGGGCCCGCGUCUGAUUAGUUAGUUGGGAGGUAACGGCUCACCAAGGCGACGAUCAGUAU